rnacentral:tRNA from 1 species
UCCCCGGUCGUCCAACGGCAGGACGGUGGCCUUUGGAGCCACUAAUCUUGGUUCGAAUCCAAGCCGGGGAA